rnacentral:rRNA from 1 species
AUUGAACGCUGGCGGAAUGCUUUACACAUGCAAGUCGAACGGUAGAGGGGGCAACCCCUUGAGAGUGGCGAACGGGUGAGUAAUGUAUCGGAACGUGCCCAGUCGUGGGGGAUAACGUAGUGAAAAUUACGCUAAUACCGCAUACGAUCUAUGGAUGAAAGCGGGGGAUCGCAAGACCUCGCGCGAUUGGAGCGGCCGAUAUCAGAUUAGGUAGUUGGUGGGGUAAAGGCUCACCAAGCCAACGAUCUGUAGCUGGUCUGAGAGGACGACCAGCCACACUGGAACUGAGACACGGUCCAGGCUACUACGGGAGGCAGCAGUGGGGAAUUUUGGACAAUGGACGCAAGUCUGAUCCAGCCAUUCCGCGUGCAGGACGAAGGCCUUCGGGUUGUAAACUGCUUUUGUACGGAACGAAAAAGCUCUUAUUAAUACUAGGAGUCCAUGACGGUACCGUAAGAAUAAGCACCGGCUAACUACGUGCCAGCCGCCGCAGUAA